GCAUAACGCGAAGAACCUUACCUAGGCUUGACAUGCAUCUCUAAGCGCGUGAAAGCGCGUGACCCUUCGGGGGAUUGUCACAGGUGCUGCAUGGCCGUCGUCAGCUCGUGUCGUGAGAUGUUGGGUUAAGUCCCGCAACGAGCGCAACCCUUGUGAACAGUUGCCAGCACUUAAGGUGGGAACUCUGUUCAGACUGCCCAGAUCAACUGGGAGGAAGGUGGGGACGACGUCAGGUCAGUAUGGCCCUUACGCCUAGGGCUGCACACGUACUACAAUGCCCAGCACAAUGAGAACCGAGACCGCGAGGUGGAGGAAAUCUAAAAAACUGGGCCCAGUUCGGAUUGGAGGCUGCAACUCGCCUCCAUGAAGUUGGAAUCGCUAGUAAUGGCGCAUCAGCUACGGCGCCGUGAAUACGUUCCCGGGUCUUGUACACACCG
rnacentral:rRNA from 1 species